CGGAACGUGGCGCAGCCCGGUUAGCGCACUGGUCUGGGGGACCAGGGGUCGCGAGUUCGAAUCUCGCCGUUCCGACCA
rnacentral:tRNA from 2 species